ensembl:lncRNA
AGAUAAAGGUAAAAACCAUGAGUACAUCAGAUACAGGAAGCAGCCGGCAACUUCGAGAGCUAAGACAAAGUGUCUAAAGGAGGAAGAAAUUUGGAAGAUGUCUCUCUCCCAAGCUGAGAGUCAAACCUCAUUAACAAGAGCGAGGCCAUGAGCCCUGGACGGCUGAGGAGUCGGCCAGAGCACCGCUUCCUACAGGCAGCUUCCCACAGGCCAGCCCUGCUGGGGGCUCUGAGACGCCAGGAAGACUCUGUGAAGCUGUGGCUGGGGGGUUCUGGAGAGACCCUCCAGGAAGCACCGCUGCUGCUGGCUAAACUGGCCAGAAAGUCAGGGUAUAGUCAAACUCACCCAAAAGCACCUUUUUCCCAACAAAGCUUCACGUCGCACCAACUGACCAAGGAAAAUGUCUGCAUGUUCCCACUCCAGCUGUACAAGGCAGGGCAACGGUGGUGGGCUGAAAAGAAGCAAGGCCGUAAGUGGUUAAGCAGCACAAGGCAAAGGCCCAAUCUACUAACAAAGGGCAAACCUCGUUCUUCCCCCCAGGGAAUUUACCAAAACCGGCAGGACAGAGAGGCUCAGGCCUGGGCCUGUUUCCUUCCGAGCCUUGGAGUCAGCAGCAUCCAGUUCCAGCGCCCGCCAGUUAAGACGGGUGAGGACCAUGGACCCUCCAACUACAGGGCAUAAGCAAGUGUCUGCUCCUCUACCUUUUGACGUCAGAGGACUGAGAAAUGCCAUGCUCGGAAUAUGCUGGAGCCAGGCAUCUGUAGGCAAAUGUGAAGAAUGAGAAAACACAAACAACUAGACUGUGCCCUCUGAAGAUGUCUCUGGCCCAAGUGUGAACAAAAAUAAAGGGUUCCUGCCAUCCCUAGGCAUGCCCAGCAAUGUACUGAUGACCUUCAGCUCCUACAGGGUAUCUAUGGUUUCCUGAGGCCAUUGAAGUGCUAUGGGGUUUUCCAUAGCACUUUCCAGGCAAGAUUACUGGAGUGGGUUGACGUUUCCUUCUCCAGUGGAUCUUCCUGACCCAGGGAUCGAACCCCAGUCUCCUGUGCUGCAGGCAGCCUCCUGAAUUGCAGGUGGAUUCCUGACCAACUGAGCCACCCGGGAUACCCUGCUGCUGCUGCUGCUGCUGCUGCUAAGUCGCUUCAGUCGUGUCUGACUCUAUGCGACCCCAUACACCAGGCUCCCCUGUCCCUGGAAUUCUCCAGGCAAGAACACUGGAGUGGGUUGCCAUUUCCUCCUCCAAUGCAUGAAAGUGAAAAAUGAAAGUGAAGUCGCUCAGUCGUGUCUGACUCUUAGCGACCCCAUGGACUGCAGCUCACCAGGCUCCUCCGUCCAUGGGAUUUUCCAGACAAGAGUACUGGAGUGGGAUGCCAUCACCUUCUCCGCCGGGAUACCCUACUGAUCACCAAAUCAACUCCAUUUUAGCAUCACAUGGAGCUAGGAUGGAGGAACAAGAACUGCUUGGGAGACAGAAAUGGGAAAGGACCUGGUUAACAGGCAACAAGUGAAGCUCUAAGUCGCCUCUCUCUAACAGAGUGUAAGAUGAGGAGCCACAUUCCCACACUGAUAGAGGAUAUUUUCUUGAAUAUAAUCUACACUCUUUGUG